UACGUAGGGGGCUAGCGUUGUCCGGAAUCAUUGGGCGUAAAGAGCGCGUAGGCGGCCAGAUAAGUCCGGUGUGAAAGUCAAAGGCUCAACCUUUGAAUGCCGCUGGAAACUGUCUGGCUAGAGUCCGGGAGGGGCGAGUGGAAUUCCUGGUGUAGCGGUGAAAUGCGCAGAUAUCAGGAGGAACACCGGUGGCGAAGGCGCUGCUCUGGGCCGGUACUGACGCUGAGGAGCGAAAGCGUGGGUAGCAAACAGG
rnacentral:rRNA from 1 species